UGCCUGCAAGGAUCAGUAACAUACUUAAAUUAGUGUGAGGAAGACAUUAUACAGAUGUAAAUAUUAGUCCAUUACCAUUAGAUCUCAUAUUAAGUUUAUCAUUUAUAAGAGUGAAAACACAAACAUAAGUAAUGCACACAGCAAUGUAGAAUCAAAUGACCAACAAAUGCUAUUGGCGCAAAACAUGCUGAUGACCACUCUCAAUUCAAAAGCUUGACUUGUUAAAGAUCUUGGACUUGUAUAGCUUUGAGUUUGAUUGAAUUACAAGGAUACUGCAUCAAUGUCUCAAUGUACUCAGCCUUCCCUCAGUUUAUUAGAAAGGACACUGACAGACAAAAGUCUGAAGCCAUGACGCAGCGGAUAGAAAAGAGUAGAUUCUUGAUCAAGGAGCUUACUGCGUGUAUGUUACUCAUAUUAUGCUUCAGCACUCAAAGGUUUUAGGAUAUAUUCCAUGUAUGACACCCACUUCAUAAGUAUCAGGAUCACUGCCCAAUGUAGGAUGUUUUAUGGUCCUUAGGGGAUCGAUAUCUGCAUUGCUUCUAAAGUAGAGGACUUCACUUUCAAUAAGUAUGUAUAUCUCUCGGGAUUUCAGACAGGGAAGAGACUAAUAUAGGGAGAAAUAUAAAGAGAACGGUGUAAAUUAGGAAAAUAAAGAGACUAAAAAGAUAUUGGAUACAGAAUCAGAAAGCGUGAGUGUCCGUGGAAGCUCGAUGAGAUUCUAACUUUCUGCUUUAGCAAUGCUUACAUGUAAUAUACUUAUCUGUACUAUUUAAGAAUGAAGAAGACAGCUCCAAUAUUGCACCCUUAUAAUUAAUCAACAGUUAACCUGUAAGUGCUUGACAAGGAUAUUAUAACCGAUAUUGGCCUAUACAAAAAAAAAACUGAUGUAAUAAUUCAGCAGACUAACGUCAGUGGAUUAGUUACUAUUCUAACAAUUACAGUCCUGUUCUUUAAGAUCUUAUCAUGCAUAGCUUUGUAUUCAAUAAUGAGUCUAAAAUCUGGAACUCUUCUGUCAAAGUAACAGUACUGACCACAUCAUAGUAGUUAUGCUGAGUGUAGCUAAUACUACAAAUAUCAAGUGAACAUAUAUUUUUUUUUCAAAUGUUAGUCUCAAAUAAUUAAAACAGAUCUAUAAAGCCUUAUAUUUAAUAAUGAUAAACCAGCUAGGUGGUUAUCUUAAAAAUCCCAAGUCCACACUCAACAUAUAAACAGGCCUUUAUACUACUCUACCAAGUACAAUGCCCAGUGCCUUAUAAUUAUUUCAAGGGAAUCUGGAAGUUAAUUGUUAUUAGACAGCAAAAUAAUAAAAUAAGUGAAUAGCUAUACAUUUAUAUCGCAUGCCCGUCUAAAUUGUUAUUAAAGAAAUAAAAUUCCACCCAACAGACAUACUACGCGUUUUUUUUAAAAGCAAAGCUAUUCUGUGUUGACACCACAAAUUGACAAAGUCUAUUUAACUUCUACCAGAAAUAGUUGUCAGGAAACUCAGUAUUAAAAGUAUUUUGUUCUGUCAUAUGCACCAUCCUCGUUCUUUAAUGUCAAAGCAAAGCUGAUUCUGUUUUACGCUUCCAACUACUCAUAAUUACAACGUACGAGUUAUGCUUCACAGUCACACCCUAUCAUAUACCCAUGCUUCGAGAGGUUGUGUAUGCAUGAUGAAAUUGAUGUGAAUUCGAUUAUUUGCGAAAUGAUCAGAAAUAUUAAGAAGGAAAAUUCAACCUUUGAUAACCCAUGAAAAUUUAUUGGCAACAGACUUGGAGUAGCAUCUUUGUCCUCGUCAGGUGUGAGUACCACUAAUGAAUCCGCCUGAAGGGAUAUCGGAUGCUCUGUUUUAUUGACAACUUGCAGUUCCGGACCAACAGUGUCUAGCAUAACCUUAAAUGUUUAGAAUUCAUAUAGAGAUAUUAAUCCUUAAACACAUAGAACAAGCUUUUAAAGGAGUAAACUGCAUAAUAUUGACUAAACUAUGUAAGAACAAAAUAUACUACAAACUUACAGCACACAGCUUCUUUGUACUUUUGAUUGCCACCUUCAGGUUUUCUAAUGUUUCCUGGUGAAACUCAGUGUCACCCCAUGAAAAAUCAAACCGUGCAACUACAAGAGGAACAUAAGUAGUCUAAUCAAUGAUACACGAAAUUAUGAUAUAAUAUUAUAUACAGUUUGUUGUUAAAUCAGUUGCAACAGGGAAAUACUAUGCUGCCAGAGUCAAAUUUGGGAACACAGUUACAGUCUUAUUAAUUCACUAAAAUCUAUAAGGUAAAACCAUGAAACCACAAACCAAUGACAGCACUUGUUAAUCUCCAUUUACAAGUAAAACUCUGCAUUUAACUUUAAACUCUCAAAAUGAAUAAUUUAAUGUAUACUUUCUACUCCAUGCGAUAAUUUCCGUAUAUAUAUAAAUUUUAACUUUAAACUCUCAAAAUAUAUAAUUUAAUGUAUACUUUCUACUCCAUGCGAUAAUUUCCGUGUGUGAGAGAGCUACUGUAUGACUAAAGACAUUCCUCGCCUGAUCUAUACUUUAAAGUUUUAACAACUGAAUACAGUAGUAACCUAUAAUAGACAUGCACACUCAGCGUCACUAAAUCACAAGUCAAAUAAACAACAUGUACAAAUAAAUUAACCUUCCAAUCUGUAAAAGAGAGACUUACCACUUCAGAUAAUACACUCUUGCUUGAUCUAUUACUUUUAGAAACUCAAUACAGAGUACUAAAUUACUAAUCUAGUGUACACUCACACACACACACACUCAUGUACACACACCAUUAGCGCUACCAAGGCACAUAUCAAACAAACAGCAUAUCACAAAAAAUAAAUAAAUGAGUUUUAAAUCCGUAAACUAGCGAGUAUGACUAGAGACAAUCGACUAGUUAAUUCAUACUAUUAAAACCACGAUACCGUAUCGUAAAUGAUAGAGCUAGCCACGGAAACAACAGAUACAGGAAACAAGUAUUUCUAAUUCCGAAAGUAUACACUUAACUUGAUCCGUACUUUCUACUCGACACAGUAGUAGUCUAAUCUACAACAAUAGACAAACACUGUAACACUGCAUAAUUGAAUCGCAAGCACAAGAAAUUAAAAAAAUUAGAAAAAUGAUUAAAAAAAAUUAGUUACCUGACAUUCCAGCAUUUAAGCAACCAGAAAUAACAUCGACCGAUCGAGAGUUAGGGCCGAGUGUUCCGACGAUCUUCGACAUAGCAGGAAAAAAGUUCUACAAAUAAUCAUGUCAACACAACAUCAACUUAAUUAGUGUUGAAAUCAAGUCAAUAAAAGUCAAGCUUAAGUUGAAUUGAGAUCUUAGCCAAAGUGAUGGAGUGGAGAUGAUGUGAACUUACAGGCUUCGAAGGCUCGAGAAUGGAGGCCAUGCGUAUAGGCUCCUCGAGAAGCAAGUGAUGAGAAUGCAUCUUGAGCGAGAGAGAGAGGGAGAGGGAGAGAGAGAGAGAGCAGGUGGUGAAUAUGUGUGUGUGAAUGUGUGUUUUUGGACAGAAAUUUGGUUGUUAUGAAUUUAUGAUGUGUGUAUACUGGAUAAUUAUAAAAAGAGGGGGUUUAAUAUAUUUUAAAUAUGGAAUCUUUUUAGCAUCUGGAUUGGUUUAUUGAGAUAUAGUAAAAGCAGUGCUAUCCGUAUCUUGGUUUAUUAAAACAAAUUAUUAAUCUUUAUAAAAAUUUCAUUAAUUUAGUAAUUAUAGUUUAAUUUAAUUAAAAUAUUGAUCUAUUUAAAAUUUCUCGAUAAAUAUUGUUUAAAAUCAACUGAUAAAUUCUGAUUUUUGACUUUGACAAUAAUAAUAAUAAUAAUAAUAAUAAUAAUAUGAAUUAUUGGGCAAGUUAUCUUGAUUAUUCUUAUUUUUUACUACGAAAUUUUGUAAUAAAAUCAUUUAAUUUUAUACUAAAUUAUAAGUAGAAGUUCACGUAUAAUUGUAAGUUAUUAAUUAUUAUUGAAUAAUUUAUCAUCAUAUGUAAACUAGGGCUAGCACGCGAGUGUGUUUUAUUGAAAAAAAUGUAAACUAUUUUUCCUUUUUUUUUCCAAUAAUGAGAAAAUAAAAAGUUAUAUAUUAUGUCAAUUGGAAGAUUAAUUAAUAUAAUGCACAUGUACUAUUUAAAGUUGCUUACAUCACAUUUAUAUACUAUACAAUUAUUUAUAUAAUAAAGUUUUAAAUAUUUUUAAUUCAGUUUUAUAUAAAAACUGUAGUCUCCAAAUUUUUUGAAGAACGCUGAAUAAUACAAUUAUCAGUUUCAAAAGAAUGAUUUGUUUGGAUAUUUUAUAAGCCAAUACAAUUUUGUUUUCAAAGCUUUAACUUUAAAAAAGAAUAUAUGUUUCAAAUUAUUAUUUAACGAUUAUAAGAGUUUGUUAUCCAAAAAUGUAAGCGAUACACGUCUAUAUAAUAAGUAUAUUUAUAACUAAAAAUGAUUAGUCCUUGAAAAAAUCACAUAAAAGAAAGUAUAAAUUAGAAGUGUUUGAUGGUAUUAGAAAGCUGAAAUCCAAAUCUGAAUCAGAUGGUUUCUGGAUUAAAGAAAACAAGUGGCGAUGUGACUCUUUUAAUACUGUAAACUUUCUUUCACGGUUUCAACUUUAUACUUCUGCUGACUAUUUUUCACUUAAAAUACACCUCAAUCAUUGGAAUGGUUACCCUUUCGUCAACUAAACUAUUGGGACAAUAAAUAAAAUAAAUUAUAUGAAAAUUAUCCCCUAACAAUAAUUCGUUGUUUUGAUUGACUAUAGUUAAAAUUAGUACAAUAAUUAAUCAUUUUAAUAUAUAAUAUACAUAUUUAAGCUUUACAUGGAACAAAAUAGAUUACAAUUGUGCUUAGCAAAAAAAAAGUAAUUAUUAAGUUGAAAUUGAUCCUUACUGAGCAGUUCGUAAUAUGUUACUCCCUCUAUCUCCUAGGUAGUUUUUGUAGGGAGAGUUCGGCACUCUUAAAAAAACAUAGUUCCGUAUCUUAUUUUUUUUUUAUUUUUUUUGCUUUUGAAUAAAAAUUUGGUGUUGACUUUUUAUACAUAAAAAAAAUUUAAAAGUAAGUUAUGAAAUUAUGUUUUAUAAAAACUUUAAAAUGCGUGUUAAACUGUAAAUAAAUAAGAGGGACGGAAAAAUUAGUUCUUAAUACGGUCUAAUUUUGAUUUUUCGCAUCAUGCCUAGUGUUACAACUGCACCCUGCACCCGUAGUGAUGCUGCGAUAACUUUAUUGUAAUUGAUUUAAGGGGGAAAGAAUUAAUAAGAUUGACGGUUCUAGAUGAAGGCGGGCGGACCAGAGGAGCAUUUUAUGAGAGAGAAUUGUCAAGAAAAGGAGAGAAUGAAUUUCAAAGUUACGGAAGAAUGCAGUCCACCGGAAGUUGUAAACAAGGGGAAGAAGAGAUGAUCAUGCAAAAAAAAAAAAAANUCAAAGGUUUUAGGAUAUAUUCCAUGUAUGACACCCACUUCAUAAGUAUCAGGAUCACUGCCCAAUGUAGGAUGUUUUAUGGUCCUUAGGGGAUCGAUAUCUGCAUUGCUUCUAAAGUAGAGGACUUCACUUUCAAUAAGUAUGUAUAUCUCUCGGGAUUUCAGACAGGGAAGAGACUAAUAUAGGGAGAAAUAUAAAGAGAACGGUGUAAAUUAGGAAAAUAAAGAGACUAAAAAGAUAUUGGAUACAGAAUCAGAAAGCGUGAGUGUCCGUGGAAGCUCGAUGAGAUUCUAACUUUCUGCUUUAGCAAUGCUUACAUGUAAUAUACUUAUCUGUACUAUUUAAGAAUGAAGAAGACAGCUCCAAUAUUGCACCCUUAUAAUUAAUCAACAGUUAACCUGUAAGUGCUUGACAAGGAUAUUAUAACCGAUAUUGGCCUAUACAAAAAAAAAACUGAUGUAAUAAUUCAGCAGACUAACGUCAGUGGAUUAGUUACUAUUCUAACAAUUACAGUCCUGUUCUUUAAGAUCUUAUCAUGCAUAGCUUUGUAUUCAAUAAUGAGUCUAAAAUCUGGAACUCUUCUGUCAAAGUAACAGUACUGACCACAUCAUAGUAGUUAUGCUGAGUGUAGCUAAUACUACAAAUAUCAAGUGAACAUAUAUUUUUUUUUCAAAUGUUAGUCUCAAAUAAUUAAAACAGAUCUAUAAAGCCUUAUAUUUAAUAAUGAUAAACCAGCUAGGUGGUUAUCUUAAAAAUCCCAAGUCCACACUCAACAUAUAAACAGGCCUUUAUACUACUCUACCAAGUACAAUGCCCAGUGCCUUAUAAUUAUUUCAAGGGAAUCUGGAAGUUAAUUGUUAUUAGACAGCAAAAUAAUAAAAUAAGUGAAUAGCUAUACAUUUAUAUCGCAUGCCCGUCUAAAUUGUUAUUAAAGAAAUAAAAUUCCACCCAACAGACAUACUACGCGUUUUUUUUAAAAGCAAAGCUAUUCUGUGUUGACACCACAAAUUGACAAAGUCUAUUUAACUUCUACCAGAAAUAGUUGUCAGGAAACUCAGUAUUAAAAGUAUUUUGUUCUGUCAUAUGCACCAUCCUCGUUCUUUAAUGUCAAAGCAAAGCUGAUUCUGUUUUACGCUUCCAACUACUCAUAAUUACAACGUACGAGUUAUGCUUCACAGUCACACCCUAUCAUAUACCCAUGCUUCGAGAGGUUGUGUAUGCAUGAUGAAAUUGAUGUGAAUUCGAUUAUUUGCGAAAUGAUCAGAAAUAUUAAGAAGGAAAAUUCAACCUUUGAUAACCCAUGAAAAUUUAUUGGCAACAGACUUGGAGUAGCAUCUUUGUCCUCGUCAGGUGUGAGUACCACUAAUGAAUCCGCCUGAAGGGAUAUCGGAUGCUCUGUUUUAUUGACAACUUGCAGUUCCGGACCAACAGUGUCUAGCAUAACCUUAAAUGUUUAGAAUUCAUAUAGAGAUAUUAAUCCUUAAACACAUAGAACAAGCUUUUAAAGGAGUAAACUGCAUAAUAUUGACUAAACUAUGUAAGAACAAA
rnacentral:lncRNA from 1 species